GACGUAGGGGGGCGAGCGUUGUCCGGAUUUAUUGGGCGUAAAGCGUGCGUAGGCGGCUGCGCAAGUCGGGUGUGAAACCCCGGGGCUCAACCCCGGAACUGCAUCCGAUACUGCGUGGCUAGAGGUAGGUAGGGGAGAUCGGAAUUCCUGGUGUAGCGGUGAAAUGCGCAGAUAUCAGGAGGAACACCGGUGGCGAAGGCGGAUCUCUGGGCCUUACCUGACGCUCAGGCACGAAAGCUAGGGGAGCGAACAGG
rnacentral:rRNA from 1 species